ensembl:snoRNA
AUGGCAGUGAUGAUUGGCGCAGGGGUACGGACCUCAGCUAGAUCAUGGGAGCUGAAUGCAAACUGUUUAUUUCGGUGCAGCUGGCGUGUGGCUGGCUCACUGGAAACAGGUUUGCAUGAGACUUUGCCAAAAACUGAGCCAU